rnacentral:rRNA from 1 species
AGAGUUUGAUCAUGGCUCAGGACGAACGCUGGCGGUGUGCCUCACACAUGCAAGUCGAACGGGGUAGCAGCAAUGCUACUUAGUGGCGGACGGGUGAGUAACACGUGGGAAUCUGCCCUGGAGUGGUGAAUAACAGGCCGAAAGGCUAGCUAAUGUGCCAUACGUCGCGAGAUAAAAGUAGCAAUACGCUUCAGGAUGAGCCCGCGUCCGAUUAGCUAGUUGGUAAGGUAAGAGCUUACCAAGGCACCGAUCGGUAGGUGGUCUGAGAGGAUGAUCACCCACAAUGGAACUGAGACACGGUCCAUACUCCUACGGGAGGCAGCAGUGGGGAAUUUUACACAAUGGGGGAAACCCUGAUGUAGCGACACCGCGUGAGCGAAGAAGCCCUUUGGGGUGUAAAGCUCUGUCAGCAGGGACGAAAAAAUGACGGUACCUGCAGAGGAAGCAUCGGCUAACUACGUGCCAGCAGCCGCGGUAAGACGUAGGAUGCGAGCGUUGUCCGGAUUUAUUGGGCGUAAAGAGUUCGUAGGUGGUUCAUUAAGUCUGGUGUUAAAGACCGGGGCUCAACCUCGGGAUCGCACUGGAUACUGGUGGACUGGAGUGCAGUAGAGGCAAGCGGAAUUCCCAGUGUAGCGGUGAAAUGCGUAGAUAUUGGGAAGAACACCGGUGGCGCAAGCGGCUUGCUGGGCUGUAACUGACACUGAGGAACGAAAGCUAGGGGAGCAAAUGGGAUUAGAUACCCCGGUAGUCC